GAUACAGCUGUGGGGGAUCUUCAUUCGGGUGUUCCUGUGAUUACAACUGUCGUUACUAUGGCAACUGCUGUCCAGAUUUCUGCGAUCACUGUGCUUACAUGGAUUAUGGAUACUGUGGUGGUUACACAACUGUGCAAGGUAUGACCGAAG